CAAUCAUCUUCAGCUCUCUGGAGCUUUCAGGGAAAGCCCAUCCCGCAAACUCGUUGGCAAACUCCUCCCAAGACAUACUGUCCACCCUAGGGUUCACAUAGUUCUUGAACCAUUCACGGGCCUUCUUACAUUUUAAUGUGAACCCAGCCAUCUGAAUGGCUCUACUGUCAUCUGCCCCUAUCUCAUCUGUUAUCACCUUGACUCUCUCAAGGUAAACAAACGGGUCAUCACCAGUUUCAAACUGUGGGGCACCCAACUUCAUGUAGUCGGUCAUCUUAACCUUGCCCCCUCCAGAUGAGCUAGGUUGAGGUAUUU
rnacentral:lncRNA from 1 species